UGGUGUGUUUGAGGUUCUAACCUUGGCCCGUGAGUCCGGGUUGGGGACAGUGUAUGGUGGGCAGUUUGACUGGGGCGGUCUCCUCCCAAAGCGUAACGGAGGAGUUCGAAGGUACGCUAGGCACGGUCGGAAAUCGUGCUGAUAGUGCAUAGGCAUAAGCGUGCUUGACUGCGAGACUGACAAGUCGAGCAGGUACGAAAGUAGGACUAAGUGAUCCGGUGGUUCUGUAUGGAAGGGCCAUCGCUCAACGGAUAAAAGGUACUCUGGGGAUAACAGGCUGAUACCGCCCAAGAGUUCAUAUCGACGGCGGUGUUUUGGCACCUCGAUGUCGGCUCAUCUCAUCCUGGGGCUGUAGCCGGUCCCAAGGGUAUGGCUGUUCGCCAUUUAAAGAGGUACGUGAGCUGGGUUUAAAACGUCGUGAGACAGUUUGGUCCCUAUCUUCCGUGGGCGCUGCAAGAUUGAGAGAGCCUGCUCCUAGUACGAGAGGAC
rnacentral:rRNA from 1 species